rnacentral:hammerhead_ribozyme from 1 species
GUACUGAUGAACAGUCCCAAAUUAGAACGAAACAGCUGUCCAGUAC